GACGAACGCUGGCGGCGUGCCUAAUACAUGCAAGUCGAACGAGAGCGACCGGUGCUUGCACUGGUCAAUCUAGUGGCGAACGGGUGAGUAACACGUGGGUAACCUGCCCAUCAGAGGGGGAUAACAUCCGGAAACGGAUGCUAAAACCGCAUAGGUCUUCGAACCGCAUGGUUUGAAGAGGAAAAGAGGCGCAAGCUUCUGCUGAUGGAUGGACCCGCGGUGCAUUAGCUAGUUGGUGAGGUAACGGCUCACCAAGGCCGUGAUGCAUAGCCGACCUGAGAGGGUGAUCGGCCACAUUGGGACUGAGACACGGCCCACACUCCUACGGGAGGCAGCAGUAGGGAAUCUUCCGCAAUGGACGCAAGUCUGACGGAGCAACGCCGCGUGAGUGAAGAAGGUUUUCGGGUCGUAAAACUCUGUUGUUAGAGAAGAACAAGUGCUAGAGUAACUGUUAGCGCCUUGACGGUAUCUAACCAGAAAGCCACGGCUAACUACGUG
rnacentral:rRNA from 1 species